UCUCUCUCUCUCUCUCUCUCUCGUCUCUUUCUCUCCUCUGUUUCUUCCCAAGAAAAACACCCUCGAAACCCAGAUUACCCAGUCCCUCCACAAUCCAAAUUUUCCGGCGACACAGAUUACGCAGUCCCACCCACUACCUCCUCCCUCUAAAACCCAGCCGGCAUCAUUCAUGAAAAAGGCAAUGCUUGAAAAUCUUGAACGACUUGUUGAAUGGGGGCCAUCUAUUUUCAGGCGAAGCAAAAAGAAUUUCGUAAAUGAACGAGGUGGGUAAAGGCUUGGGAAGAUGCAUCUUUUGGCUAGAUUUCUUGUAGCAAAUCGACUGUGAGGGUUUUUUUAUGCGAGCAGAAAGCACUGGAAUCCAAGCGUGGUACAGCAUGAGCAAAUUGGAUUUGGUAAUUGGCAGGCAGGCAGGCAACGCAGUCUACAGCGACUUUUAUAAAAGGCUUUUUCACCGCACGUGGUGGGCUGGGCCAACAUGUCGGGCGUUCACACGAGUGCAAGCUCCUCCUAGGUCCUCACAGAUCCCAAUGAGAUCCGCUGUCACACGCGACCACACACAGAAUAAAUAAAUUAUAAUAUCAACUCAUAUGCCCCCUACUGCCUAGCAGUAAAAUUAACACCACUCAUGAUCUGACACCUGUACUACUUUGCUACGUGUGGCUCUGUCAGCUUUGGUGGGUGAGAGUACGAAAUUGACCUUGGAAGUUGUAUGGGGUGUCUUAUUUUGAGAUGGGUAGUUUUGGGAUGGGGGAGUUUUGGAGGGAGAGGAAAAAAAGAAGGGGUUGGGAGACAAGACAAGGCAGCUUUAGUAAAAGAGAAAAGAAGGUGGUGAGGUGAUUAAUGGUGUUUGUUUUUGUGUGAGGGAGUAAAAAGAGAAAGUGGAGAGAAUUUUGGUGAUCCCAAGAAGAUUGUGAAAUGGAAAAACAGAGUCUGAGAGGAUGCAGCCUUUUCUUUUCCCUUUAUUUUGAGAGAGAGAGAUUGGAUCCAACAUACUCUUGGUGGAGCUUUGCUAGAUUCACUUAUUUAUGUUCCAUAUGAACAACUCUUUAGUUAUUUAUUGAUGUAAAACAAAAAGAAUUGAGCUACUGUAAAACUGAUCGAAAUCGGGUGUAUGGUAUACUGCUAUGACUAACUGGUUUAAUCCACAUAUGUAAUAAAAUUUUAAUAUAAAAGUUGGAUUAGGGAUUA